rnacentral:rRNA from 1 species
CCUACGGGUGGCUGCAGUCGAGAAUCAUUCACAAUGGGGGAAACCCUGAUGGUGCGACGCCGCGUGGGGGAAUGCAGGUCUUCGGAUUGUAAACCCCUGUCAUGUGGGAGCAAAUUAAAAAGAUAGUACCACAAGAGGAAGAGACGGCUAACUCGGUGCCAGCAGCCGCGGUAAUACAGAGGGCUCAAGCGUUGUUGGGAAUCACUGGGCGUAAGGCGUGCGUAGGCUGUGUCGUAAGUCGUGUGUGAAAGGCGCGGGCUCAACCCGCGGACGGCACAUGAUACUGGGAGACUAGAGUAAUGGAGGGGGAACCGGAAUUCUCGGUGGAGCAGUGAAAUGCGUAGAUAUCGAGAGGAACACUCGUGGCGAAGGCGGGUUCCUGGACAUUAACUGACGCUGAGGCACGAAGGCCAGGGGAGCGAAAGGGAUUAGAUACCCGAGUAGUC